rnacentral:misc_RNA from 1 species
GAGGGGGCGCGGAGGCCGAGGUUCCUGUGCCUGCACGGGUUCCGGACGAGCGGGGAGAUCAUGCGGAAGCAGGUGGUGGGGAAGUGGCCCGCCGACGUCACGGCGCGCCUCGACCUCGUCUUCGCCGACGCGCCGUUCCCCGCCGAGGGGAAGUCCGACGUCGAGGGCAUCUUCGACCCGCCCUACUACGAGUGGUUCCAGUUCGACAAGAAUUUUACAGAGUACAGGAAUUUCGACGAAUGCCUGAACUACAUCGAGGAAUUGAUGAUUAAAGAAGGGCCUUUUGAUGGACUGAUGGGUUUCUCUCAGGGCUCGAU